rnacentral:lncRNA from 1 species
AGGCAAUUUGAUAUCAUAAUAGAGCACUGCAGACACAAUGCUGAGUGAAGAGGAGUAGAAAUGGGAAGACUUGGUUGAGCAGAAACUGAAUUCUUGAAAAGAGGAGAUGCUCGAUGAGGGCAUGGAAGCCUAAGGUCUGUCUCCAAAACUAUAAGACUAUUUGACAUCAUAAUAAAACACUGCAGAUAUGAUGCUGAGUAAGAGUGGAAAUGGGAAGACUUGGUUGUGCAGUAACUGAGUUCUUGAAAAGAGGAAAUGCUUGAUGAGGGUGAGUGGAUU